UACGAACCGAGCGAACGUUGUUCGGAAUCACUGGGCUUAAAGGGCGCGUAGGCGGGCAUUCAAGUCUGUGGUGAAAUCCUCCAGCUCAACUGGAGAACUGCCAUGGAUACUGGGUGUCUCGAGGGUGGUAGGGGUAUGCGGAACUAUCGGUGGAGCGGUGAAAUGCGUUGAUAUCGAUAGGAACUCCGGUGGCGAAGGCGGCAUACUGGACCACAUCUGACGCUGAGGCGCGAAAGCCAGGGGAGCGAACGGG
rnacentral:rRNA from 1 species